rnacentral:tRNA from 1 species
AAAGACUAGUCCAAUCAAGACAACUGACUUCGACUCAGCUAAUCCCACUUCCUGUGGGGUCUUUA